UACGUAGGGUGCGAGCGUUAAUCGGAAUUACUGGGCGUAAAGUGUGCGCAGGCGGCCAUGCAAGUCGAGUGUGAAAGCCCCGGGCUUAACUUGGGAAUUGCGCUCGAACUACGUGGCUGGAGUGUGGCAGAGGAAGGUGGAAUUCCACGUGUAGCGGUGAAAUGCGUAGAGAUGUGGAGGAACACCAAUGGCGAAGGCAGCCUUCUGGGCCAACACUGACGCUCAUGCACGAAAGCGUGGGAGCAAACAGG
rnacentral:rRNA from 1 species